rnacentral:rRNA from 1 species
UACGUAGGGUGCGAGCGUUAAUCGGAAUUACUGGGCGUAAAGCGUGCGCAGGCGGUUCGUUGUGUCGGCGGUGAAAGCCCCGGGCUUAACCUGGGAAUGGCCGUUGAAACUGGCGAACUGGAGUGUGGCAGAGGGGGGUGGAAUUCCGCGUGUAGCAGUGAAAUGCGUAGAGAUGCGGAGGAACACCGAUGGCGAAGGCGGCCCCCUGGGCUAACACUGACGCUCAGGCACGAAAGCGUGGGGAGCAAACAGG